rnacentral:ncRNA from 1 species
UGAUCAGAUUGCAAGUGAUAUUGCUAACUUGAAGACUGAUGGAGAAAAGCGGAAGUGACGUUACAGUUACUGCUGCUACAUUAUCGGGUGAAUUGCUGGUAAUCCCUGAUAACUUUUCUUACCACAACGUAGCUGGAAACAACAAGCGUGAUGGUUUGAAAAAAGAAAAGAUAUGGGCAAUCAGCAGCCAAUUUCCUGUCUCGAAAGAGUGGAGAAGGUUCAACGAAUAGGAUAAACCAUCUAAAAGUUUAGCUUAAGAUGAUGAAAUCCGUCGGUGAAACAAUGUUCAUCAGCAUUUUGAAUCCGAAGUGCCGACCCCUACUAGAUUGAUAGAGGGUGAAGAUAUAGUCUAGUCAUUUGUGAAAGCAAAUG